rnacentral:rRNA from 1 species
CCUACGGGUGGCAGCAGUGGGGAAUAUUGCACAAUGGGGGGAACCCUGAUGCAGCAACGCCGCGUGGGUGAAGAAGUACUUCGGUAUGUAAAGCCCUGUCAGCAGGGAAGAAAAUGACGGUACCUGACCAAGAAGCCCCGGCUAACUACGUGCCAGCAGCCGCGGUAAUACGUAGGGGGCAAGCAUUAUCCGGAUUUACUGGGUGUAAAGGGAGCGUAGACGGAAAGGCAAGUCAGAAGUGAAAGCCCAAGGCUCAACCAUGGGACUGCUUUUGAAACUGUCAAACUAGAGUACGGGAGAGGUAAGAGGAAUUCCUAGUGUAGCGGUGAAAUGCGUAGAUAUUAGGAGGAACACCAGUGGCGAAGGCGUCUUACUGGACCGAAACUGACGUUGAGGCUCGAAAGCGUGGGGAGCAAACAGGAUUAGAUACCCGGGUAGUC